rfam:Candidatus Levybacteria bacterium RIFCSPLOWO2_01_FTLL_36_13 rifcsplowo2_01_scaffold_14, whole genome shotgun sequence.
GCGGACGUGGUGAAACGGCAGACACGCAAGGUUUAGGACCUUGUGCCCGCAAGGGCGUGGGGGUUCAACUCCCUUCGUCCGCA